UACAGAGGGUGCAAACGUUGCUCGGAAUCAUUGGGCGUAAAGCGCACGUAGGCGGCCUAGCAAGUAGGGAGUGAAAGCCCUCGGCUUAACCGAGGAAGUGCUUUCUAAACUACUAGGCUUGAAUACUGGAGAGGGUCGCGGAAUUCCCGGUGUAGAGGUGAAAUUCGUAGAUAUCGGGAGGAACACCAGUGGCGAAGGCGGCGACCUGGGUAGAUACUGACGCUGAGGCGCGAAAGCGUGGGGAGCAAACAGG
rnacentral:rRNA from 1 species